UACGAAGGGUGCAAGCGUUACUCGGAAUUACUGGGCGUAAAGCGUGCGCAGGCGGUUUGCUAAGAGAGAAGUGAAAUCCCCGGGCUUAACCUGGGAACUGCGUUUCUAACUGGCAGGCUUGAGUGUGGCAGAGGGGGGUGGAAUUCCACGUGUAGCAGUGAAAUGCGUAGAGAUGUGGAGGAACACCGAUGGCGAAGGCAGCCCCCUGGGCUAACACUGACGCUCAUGCACGAAAGCGUGGGGAGCAAACAGG
rnacentral:rRNA from 1 species